AUACAUAGCGUAAUGAAGCGAACCGGGGGAACUGAAACAUCUAAGUACCCCGAGGAAAAGAAAUCAACCGAGAUUCCCCCAGUAGCGGCGAGCGAACGGGGAGCAGCCCAGAGUCUGAAUCAGCUUGUGUGUUAGUGGAACGGUCUGGAAAGUCCGACGGUACAGGGUGAUAGUCCCGUACACCAAAAUGCACAGGUUGUGAACUCGAAGAGUAGGGCGGGACACGUGGUAUCCUGUCUGAAUAUGGGGGGACCAUCCUCCAAGGCUAAAUACUCCUGACUGACCGAUAGUGAACCAGUACCGUGAGGGAAAGGCGAAAAGAACCCCGGCGAGGGGAGUGAAAAAGAACCUGAAACCGUGUACGUACAAGCAGUGGGAGCCUCUUUAUGGGGUGACUGCGUACCUUUUGUAUAAUGGGUCAGCGACUUAUAUUCUGUAGCAAGGUUAACCGUAUAGGGGAGCCGAAGGGAAACCGAGUCUUAACUGGGCGUUAAGUUGCAGGGUAUAGACCCGAAACCCGGUGAUCUAGCCAUGGGCAGGUUGAAGGUUGGGUAACACUAACUGGAGGACCGAACCGACUAAUGUUGAAAAAUUAGCGGAUGACUUGUGGCUGGGGGUGAAAGGCCAAUCAAACCGGGAGAUAGCUGGUUCUCCCCGAAAGCUAUUUAGGUAGCGCCUCGUGAAUUCAUCUUCGGGGGUAGAGCACUGUUUCGGCUAGGGGGUCAUCCCGACUUACCAACCCGAUGCAAACUGCGAAUACCGAAGAAUGUUAUCACGGGAGACACACGGCGGGUGCUAACGUCCGUCGUGAAGAGGGAAACAACCCAGACCGCCAGCUAAGGUCCCAAAGUCAUGGUUAAGUGGGAAACGAUGUGGGAAGGCACAGACAGCCAGGAUGUUGGCUUAGAAGCAGCCAUCAUUUAAAGAAAGCGUAAUAGCUCACUGGUCGAGUCGGCCUGCGCGGAAGAUGUAACGGGGCUAAACCAUGCACCGAAGCUGCGGCAGCGACACUAUGUGUUGUUGGGUAGGGGAGCGUUCUGUAAGCCGUUGAAGGUGUACUGUGAGGUAUGCUGGAGGUAUCAGAAGUGCGAAUGCUGACAUAAGUAACGAUAAUGCGGGUGAAAAACCCGCACGCCGGAAGACCAAGGGUUCCUGUCCAACGUUAAUCGGGGCAGGGUGAGUCGACCCCUAAGGCGAGGCCGAAAGGCGUAGUCGAUGGGAAACAGGUUAAUAUUCCUGUACUUGGUGUUACUGCGAA
rnacentral:rRNA from 1 species